rnacentral:lncRNA from 1 species
UAAGGUAGGGGGUUAGUUUUCAUUCAUAAUCUUCUUGUAUAAUCUCUUUUCUAUUUCUACCCAUAAAUGCUUAUAUGUGAAAAUGAUUAUUAUGAUUUUAAUUGGUGGUGAAAUUCGUACUUAUGUUUUGAUGUAAUGUAAUGUUUGGAUAUGUGAAUUUGAUGAUAAUUAAGUUGUUGAUGAUGAAAUUACAUGUUCAAGUUAUAUAUAUAUAUAUAUAUAUAUAUAUAUAUAUAUACUUUGUGUUUUACUCAAAUUUGAUGAAUAAUGAUAUUGUUGUUGUUAGAUUAUUGAUGAAUUCAUGGUUAAUUGAUGUUGUUGUUAUGAGAUGUUUGUUGUUGAUAAGUAAUAUCAUGGGUAUUCUUAACCAUGAAGUUGUGGUGCGAUUUGAGUUGUUUUUGAAAGUUUUAUGAAAAAUGGAUUAAUUGAUAAUUUGUGAUAGAAUAAUGUUUUGAUUUCAAGUUUUAUAUGGUUUUGAUUGUCUUUUUUUUGUACAUAAACGUAUAGAUAAACUUUGGGCCGACUCUCUUAAGUCCGUACCAUUACAACACUAACUAGUAGUUUUUGCUAUUGCGAAUAUUGCAACUAAAUACAUAGAAUUAAGUAGAAGUUGAUUACUUUUAACGUAAAUAUAAUUCUAUUUAGAGUCUGCUUGUACUAACUAAUUGAGUAACUAACUCCUAACUACUUCAAAAAAAAAAAAAUACUCAUAACUAAGAGUGGCAAAAUGGAUGGUUCGGAUGGAUACAAAAAUUCCAUUAAUCCAUUACAAUUCACUAAAAUUCUUUUUUCUUAAAAAAAAAAUUCAAUCCAAUCCAUUAAAUAUAAAAUCCAUCCAUUAUUAGAUUAUUAAUGGACGGUUAUCCAUCCAUUAAAAUGUAUUUUUUUUAAUACUUUUCAACAUAUUUUUUAAGUGAUUAAAUUUUCUUUGUGGGGGUAUUUUUUAAAUGAAUUGGUAUAUAAAAAAUGCAGUCCUAAAUUUUUUUUUUUGUUUGAGCCCAAAACAGAUUUGCUUAAAAAGCCCAAUUGAAUAAAAAGUAUAUAUUUAAGCCCGAUUCAUUUUGUUAUUCUUUAUCUAAAAGAUUAAUUGUAAUUAAUAAAAAAUAUUAAAUGGGGUGGUUUGUCGGUGUUGACUCGGGCCACAGGCGUUGACCAUGGUGGUCCGGCGGCGGAGCUCCGACGACCUGCAGUGAUGGAUCUUCUAGGAAGGUGUUCGAAGAGAUGCUUUUGUACCUUUUAAAUUUUUUCCUAUGUCGUUGACCAUGAAAACCUACAAAAAAUGAAACUUAAACACAGUCUCGUGUUAUUCGGAUUAUACAAUCCGAAAAUAUUAAGAAAGGUUUGGAUUGUAUAAUCCGAAAACUCUCAAACUAGGUGGAUUGUGGCGUUUCACCAAAGGUUGGGACGGUUUGUGGUGUGUUUAAUGCAUUUUUGGUCAGUUGAACCAUGUAAAAUGUUUCCUUUAAAUGUUGUUAUGGUCUGAGACUGAUUUACGACUAUAAAUAGGCUUGCAUCUUAUAGGUAAAAAUUAAGAGGCGACAAUUACCAACAUCACUUCCAAAAUACACUUGGUUCAGAUUAUAUAAUUCGAAACACAUUGUUAGAUUUUUCGAAUUAUAAUUUGAAAUAUGCUUUGCCCAGAUUUUUCAAGAUAGUGUUUUAUAUUAUUUCAAUGACAUAAUAUAAAUGAAAAAAAAAGUAUAUAAAAUAAAUGCAAAUAUAAAUAAUUAAAAGGACAAAAUGAUACAAAUAAAAUUUUAUUUUAUUAAUAUAUCAAUACAUUUACGAUAAAUAAAUCUUAAGCUUAAAACUUAUCACAUCAAAUAUUCAAACCUAAUGCUAAACUAUUUAAAAUGAACACCAAGAGAUUGUUAUGGGCUAGAUCGUGAUGCCUUGGCAAUAAACCUAUGUAGUUGGCAAGGCAACAUGAUCUAACUCAAAACAAUCCUCUUGAAACACCUUGUCUUUCAUCAUUAUGUUGCAUAUAUGAUACCGAAGAGGUUCUUAUGAACUUGAUCCAGUUGACAUGCCGAUCGAAAUGUGUCAGUUGACGGCUAGCUGGAGCAAGUACAAAAGCAUCUCUUCGAACACCUUCCUAGAAGAUCCAUCACUUAUGUUAUUGUGUUGUUUUAAGUUGUUUAAUUAUUUUUGUACCUUUUUAAAUUUUUUCCUAUGUCGUUGACCAUGAAAACCUACAAAAAAUGAAACUUAAACACAGUCUCGUGUUAUUCGGAUUAUACAAUCCGAAAAUAUUAAGAAAGGUUUGAAUUGUAUAAUUCGAAAACUCUCAAACUAGGUGGAUUGUGGCGUUUCACCAAAGGUUUGGACGGUUUGUGGUGUGUUUAAUCCAUUUUUGGUCCGUUGAACCAUGUAAAAUGUUUCCUUUAAAUGUUGUUAUGGUAUGGGACUGAUUUACGACUAUAAAUAGGCUUGCAUCUUCAAAAAUUCCAUUCAUUCUUCACUUUCCAUCUUUUCUUACUUUUUCUUAAACAGUUUUUAGUUUUUUAGGAGUGUUUAUGGUGUCAUGGUCAUUGAUGACCGUUCAUAGAAUCCUUGCAAUUGUUUUGCAGUUUAUGUGUGGAUUCUAUGAUGGUCAACAAAAACCUUGGACAUUAAAUACAACACAAAAAAUGAAGUACUUGAAGUUUCAAAUUUUAGAAAUAAAAAAACCCUAACAAUCUUAUUUGGAAAAAGUAUAGGAUGCUCUAGAAUGACAUAGGGUUGGAAAAGUGAAUUCCUAUUUUUAAUAGGCUUUGCUAUUGGAUAAUCCAAAUAAUGAUUGGGCCGACUGUCUUAAGUCCGUACCAUUACAACACUAACUAGUAGUUUUGCUAUUGCGAAUAUUGCAACUAAAUACAUAGAAUUAAGUAGAAGUUGAUUACUUUUUACGUAAAUAUAAUUCUAUUUAGAGUCUGCUUGUAUCAACUAAUUGAGUAACUAACUCCUAACUACUUCAAAAAAAAAAAAAAUACUCAUAACUAAGAGUGGCAAAAUGGAUGGUUCGGAUGGAUACAAAAAUUCCAUUAAUCCAUUACAAUUUACUAAAAUUCUUUUUUCUUAAAAAAAAAAUUCAAUCCAAUCCAUUAAAUAUAAAAUCUAUCCAUUAUUAGAUUAUUAAUGGAUGGUUAUCCAUCCAUUGAAAUGUAUUUUUUUUUAAUACUUUUCAACAUAUUUUUUAAGUGAUUAAUUUUUCUUCGCGGGGGCAUUUUUUAAAUGAAUUGGUAUAUAAAAAAUGCAGUCCUAAAUAUUAUUUUUUUGUUUGAGCCCAAAACAGAUUUGCUUAAAAAGCCCAACUAAAUAAAAAGUAUAUAUUUAAGCCAGAUUCAUUUUGUUAUUCUUUAUGUAAAAGAUUAAUUGUAAUUAAUAAAAAAUAUUAAAUGGGGUGGUUUGCCAGUGUU